rnacentral:rRNA from 1 species
CACACCGCCCGUCGCUACUACCGAUUGAAUGGCUCAGUGAGGCCUUCGGACUGGCUCAGGGAGGUCGGCAACGACCACCCAGAGCCGGAAAGUUGGUCAAACUCGGUCAUUUAGAGGAAGUAAAAGUCGUAACAAGGUCUCCGUAGGUGAACCUGCGGAGGGAUCAUUA